UCUCCGUAGGUGAACCUGCGGAGGGAUCAUUACUGAGUGAGGGCUUCGGUCCGACCUCCAACCCUUUGUGAACCAAACUUGUUGCUUCGGGGGCGACCCUGCCUUCGGGCGGGGGCUCCGGGUGGACACUUCAAACUCUUGCGUAACUUUGCAGUCUGAGUAAACUUAAUUAAUAAAUUAAAACUUUUAACAACGGAUCUCUUGGUUCUGGCAUCGAUGAAGAACGCAGC
rnacentral:misc_RNA from 1 species